CGUGGACUGGCUUCUUUUAUAUCUUCUUAAGAUUUUAAAGACGAGGCUGUGCAGGACAGUAGAAGCCGUUGAAGUUUGACUGUGGGUUUGCGCUCUCCCUCUCACCCACGCUCUGUCUCCAGAAGCUGCAGGGGUUUCGCUGAGUUGGCAAAAAUGCGUCGCAACGUAGAAAUAAACUGUCGGCUUUCAAGAACUCCCAACACACGCACAUCUUGUCCUCACUGGACCUCCAACAGACACUCGGCUCAGCAUGGUGACGGUUCUUCUUGAAGGUUCUGAGGACGCAGAAGCCCACGUGAAGAGGUUUGAAUGAAAUAUUUUGGUAUUUCCCACCUUCUUGCUGGUCUUGUUGAACAUUCAACGCUGUCGGUGAGUUUUUGACACUGAAAAACCAUCGACCGUUGACUGUGCCCUGAGGCCACGCCCUCUUCAACCAGGACACGCCCACCUCUAUAAAUGAGUUCAUUUCUACAAAGGUCAUAAUCAACAUUCAUUGCUGUCGGUGGGUUUAGUU
ensembl:lncRNA